AUGCUAACGACCCUGAAUGAUAGCUUGCUCGAUGAGGUAGUAGGUUGUAUAGUUAUGAGUUGUACCAUAAUCGGAGAAACUGUCCAGCCUGCUAGCUUGCCGUGCGGGUCUAUCAUCCGUCCCC